rnacentral:rRNA from 1 species
AGAUGUACUGGAAAGUGUAUCUAGAAAUUGUAAGGAAAAUUGAUUUAUAAAAGUUAAAGUGAAAGUCCUUAAUGUGAGCAGCUUGUUGAAAAUAAAUAUAGUAAUUAAAGUUAGGUAAGAAAAAUAAUUUUUUGUUAAGUUUAAAGUAAUUUUUAAUGAAAAUUAAAUAUAAGCUAUAGAGAAGAGUACUGUGAAGGAAAGCUAUGAUAUUUAGGAUAGCAAAGAUGAAUUUUUGUACCUUGUGUAUCAGGGAGUAUUUAUAUAGUUUAAUUAUAGUAAAUAUCUCGAAAUAAAAUAUAGUGAUUUUUAUAAAAUUUUCUUUUUAGAAUGAAAGAAUUAAAUAUAAAAUUAAAAGUGAAACGCUAGUUGAGUUUUAUGAUAUCUAGUUUUUUCAAAAUGAAUUUAAUUUAAUUUUUAUAAUUAUAAGUUAUAAAAUUGAAGGGUAGGGGGGAUUAGCUCCUUAUGAAAAAUAAUGUGAAAAAGUUAAAUGAGUAAAAAAAUGAUAUAAAUUAGGCUUAGAAGUAGCCAUAUUUACAAGGUGUUUUAACUGAAUUAGAAUUUAUUGAAUAUUUAAGUUAACUUUUUAAAAAUAUGAAAAAAUUAAUUUUAAUCUGAGAAAGUAAAAUAUAAUGAUUUUAUUAGUAAAAUUAAUUUAGAAAAGUUUAUAUUAAAAUAUUUUGGAGCGUUUAAAAGAAUAAUAUUAAUAUAAAGGAACUCGGCAAAAAUUUUCUUUGCCUGUUUAUCAAAAACAUGUCUUUUUGAAAAUAGAAAAAGUCAAGCCUGCCCGCUGAUAGUAUUUAAGGGCCGCGGUAUUUUGACCGUGCGAAGGUAGCAUAAUAAUUAGUUUUUUAAUUGGAAUCUUGUAUGAAUGGUUAGACAAAAGAAAAUCUGUCUCUUUAUUAAAUAUUGAAUUUGACUUUUAGGUGAAAAGGCUUAAAUAAAUUAAAGGGACGAUAAGACCCUAUAAAGCUUUAAUAUUAAAUACUAUUUGAUUGAAUUAGGUAUAAAAAUUUUAUGGUAUGGUUUAUUUUAUUGGGGUGAUAAAGGUAAAAUGUUUAUUAACUGCUUGAACGAUAAGACAUAUUUAAUUGAAAUAAACUUAUAAAAGAUCCUUAUUAAAGAUUGUAAGUUUAAGUUACUUUAGGGAUAACAGCGUUAUUUUUUUUGAGAGUACAUAUCGAAAAAAAAGUUUGCGACCUCGAUGUUGAAUUAAAAUUCCUUUAUAGAAGCAGAAACUAUAAAAGUUGGUCUGUUCG